rnacentral:rRNA from 1 species
CCUACGGGAGGCAGCAGUGAGGAAUAUUGGUCAAUGGCCGAGAGGCUGAACCAGCCAAGUCGCGUGAGGGAUGACGGCCCUACGGGUUGUAAACCUCUUUUGUCGGGGAGCAAAGAGAGUCACGUGUGGUUCAUUGAGAGUACCCGAAGAAAAAGCAUCGGCUAACUCCGUGCCAGCAGCCGCGGUAAUACGGAGGAUGCGAGCGUUAUCCGGAUUUAUUGGGUUUAAAGGGUGCGCAGGCGGAGGUGCAAGUCAGUGGUCAAAUUGCGGGGCUCAACCCCGUACUGCCGUUGAAACUGCAUCCCUUGAGUGCGCGAGAAGUAUGCGGAAUGCGUGGUGUAGCGGUGAAAUGCAUAGAUAUCACGCAGAACUCCGAUUGCGAAGGCAGCAUACCGGCGCGCAACUGACGCUCAUGCACGAAAGCGUGGGUAUCGAACAGGAUUAGAUACCCUGGUAGUC